rnacentral:rRNA from 1 species
GAUUAUGGCCAUACCACACUGACAACGCCCGAUCUCGUCUGAUCUCGGAAGCUAAGCAGAGGUGGGCUGGGUCAGUACUUGAAUGGGUGACCGCCUGGGAAUACCCGGUGCUGUAAGCA